CCUACGGGUGGCAGCAGUGGGGAAUAUUGCACAAUGGGGGAAACCCUGAUGCAGCAACGCCGCGUGAGCGAAGAAGGCCUUCGGGUCGUAAAGCUCUGUCCUAAGGGAAGAAGCAUGACGGUACCUUAGGAGGAAGCCCCGGCUAACUACGUGCCAGCAGCCGCGGUGAUACGUAGGGGGCGAGCGUUAUCCGGAAUCACUGGGCGUAAAGGGUGCGUAGGCGGCCGAUUAAGCCAGGGGUGAAAGGCGACGGCUCAACCGUAGUAAGCCCUUGGAACUGAGUGGCUUGAGUGCAGGAGAGGUGAGUGAAAUUCCUAGUGUAGCGGUGAAAUGCGUAGAUAUUAGGAGGAACACCAGUUGCGAAGGCAGUUCCCUGGACUGUAACUGACGCUGAGGCACGAAAGUGUGGGGAGCGAACAGGAUUAGAUACCCGGGUAGUC
rnacentral:rRNA from 1 species